CUUCGCGUAGCUCAGUUGGUAGAGCGACCGUGAUCGGAUCGGGAGGUCAUGGGUUCGACUCCCGUCGCGGAUG